UCGCGGUGCCCGAAAGGGUGACGAAGCGACGCCGCGUGGGUGAGGAAGGCCUUCGGGUUGUAAAGCCCUGUCAGGAGUUAAGAAAUGUAAGUGCGCUAAUAUCGCAUUUAUUUGACGAAGGCUCCAAAGGAAGUCACGGCUAACUCUGUGCCAGCAGCCGCGGUAAUACAGAGGUGGCAAGCGUUGUUCGGAGUUAUUGGGCGUAAAGAGCACGUAGGUGGGUUUGUAAGUCAGAUGUGAAAGCCUUCUGUUCAACGGAAGAAUUGCAUCUGAAACUGCGAGUCUUGAGUGUAGGAGGGGAGAAUGGAACCUCUGGUGGAGCGGUGAAAUGCGUAGAUAUCAGAAGGAACGCCGGCGGCGAAAGCGAUUCUCUGGCCUAUUACUGACACUCAGUGUGCGAAAGCUAGGGGAGCAAACGGGAUUAGAUACCCCGGUAGUCCUAGCCGUAAACGAUGGGCACUAAGUAGAGGGGUUUUA
rnacentral:rRNA from 1 species